GGUUUCGUGUGCUUUUUCAACAAGAGAGUACGGGUAGGAGAAGCCGUAUCCGGACUCAUCACAAGACCAGCACCACGGGCAGCAUCGAACGUCCACGGAGCCCUUGCAACGUGCUGAGCGCCAUCCCAGGAACCUGACGCCCGCGAUCGCAUCCGAUCCCGGCCACGACGCCUGUGUAGACAUGAGAAAACCAAGGCCUCGCCCGGCUGGCAUCCCAGCCUUUCCAGUUGGUCUCCUUUCCUUCCCAGUUGCUGGGGUAGCUCUGAGUGGGCAGGAGACACCCCAGCUGUCCUCUGGCAGUGUGCCAAGUCACCUCAUCCUGCGCUUUUCUAAGAUGGGAGGGUCGGCCCGCCACUCUUAGAAGGUCUGCCUCAUUCCCUGACCCCUAGGGAGUCACCCCAGCCUGCUCCGGCCCAGCUCUGGGUCAGCACAUUCAGCAAAUCAAGUGCAGCCGAGGCCCGGCCUUCUAGCUCCAGCCUCCCCGGCUCCUCACACGCACCACCCCUCCCAUCGGAGCCUGCGCGGGUUCAUUUCCACGUCCGCUGGGUGGGCUGCCUGUCAGAGGGUUUUCAUGAGAUGUCCGGUUGCUGCAGACUCAGUGCCUGACAGGGCGGACACUCAGUAAACUGCAGAUGCCCCGCAAUGUUUUUCUGUUACCGAUUCAUUUUUGAGUCUAGCUGACGCCCCUCUGUGGGCACCGUAUUUCACACCCGCUGUGCCCCAAUCCGACGUGACAAGCUCCCUCCUUGGGAGUACAGAAACGACGACGAGAGGAGGUUCAUGGCCUGCACGCUACCACAGGGCAAACACAGGUACAGGUCCCCUGUGGAGCGUUAGUAGCCUGGAGCCAUCAGGCCUCCCAGGAGGAGCCUGUUUGUCAGGAUAGGAAGCUUCCAGGCUCAUUUCAGCCCCACCGGAUAGAUGACCCUGAGAACUGGUAGGGGGAGAAGAGUCAGCUGGUUCUCACCUCAGAAACGAGAAGACUUUUCUCCCCACGUGAGAACAGGUGGAUGGAGACGGGACUUCACAUCAUCCAUCUUCCGCGAAGUCACUUAUACCGUGACCUUGGGCAAGUGGCUCAGCUUCUCUGAAGCUCAGUCUCCUCUCCUGCAGAAGGAGAGUGGUGGUCUGAACUUGCCUCUAGGUCCUCGAGGCCGCAGCCUGCCCUGUGCAACCAGCCGGGGGAGUUUCGUCAGCCAGACUCCAUUCCAGGCCUAUUACAUGAGAAUCUGUGAUUCAUUUCCUGACUUAAGGAUGGACGUGUUUAGGCCCGAAGGCCCCCGAGAGGGAAAUGUCUACUCACUUUGUCAUCUUGCUUCCCAGGGGUGUCCUCCGGGGACAGGCCCUGGGGGCCCAGAUGGCUCUGGCGCCUCCGUCAGGAGGUGUGGGCCUCCAGGACAGUGUGGACAGCCCCUGGGGACAUCUGAAGGCCUCUCAAGAGAGGGUGACAACAGACUCAAAAGGGAGAAUUCCUGCCAGUCAUAAAUGAUCCUCUCCGACGCCGAUGAUUUUUCUGUUGUUAGAGAUGAUUAUUACAGGCGUGAACAAUGGCCCUGCUGUUCUUUCUCUGCUGGCUGAGAAGCAGGACAUCUAGCUAGCUGCCGAGUCACCUCACAGCAGUAGGCAUGGAAAAUAUCGACUUCCUUCUUAUUGCUUGAUCCUCGCUGCUUUUCUUCCUUCGUUUCUUAUCACCUCUGAGGCGUUUUCACGUUCCUGCUCUUCUCUUCAUUCUUCACGCGAUAAUGCUUAUUUAAUUUUGAAUGUUCUCUUCCGGUCAAAAGUUGGCUUGCUGGGUCCAGACCAAAUGGAAACAAACAUGAUGAAACUUGUGCUACGCUGAAGGGCGCCUGGGCGGCUCGGUCGGUUAAACGUCCGACUCCAACUCAGGUCAUGAUCUCACGGUUCGUGGGUUCGAGCCCUGUGUCGGGCUCUGGGCUGAUGGCUCAGCACGGAUUCUGCGUCUCCCUCUCUCUCUCUGCCCCUCCCCCGCUCACGCCCUGUCUCUCUCUGUCUCUCAAAAAUAGUAAAUAAACGCUUACAAAAAAGUGUAAAAACGUUUGUU
rnacentral:lncRNA from 1 species